rnacentral:tRNA from 1 species
GCCGGUAUAGCUCAGCUGGUAGAGCAACUGACUUGUAAUCAGUAGGUCCCAGGUUCGACUCCUGGUGCCGGCACCA